rnacentral:snRNA from 1 species
CCAUACCCUGGUGGUAUGA